GCAACACCUGGGCCUCAGGACUGCGUGAUGGGUGCCCCGUGAAAUCUAAUUCCACUGUGAACUAUGCUGACAUCCAUCAAGGCCUUUACCUCCUACCUCUUGGUUUGAAAUGGGUCUCCAAGACUUCCACCAUCCACAACUGAUCCAGAAAUGGCUCUGGCAGUACCCAAGGGUUCCUUGAAGGCAGGUCUGGGUCUGGUUCUCCGGAUCCCAACACCACGAGGUACUUUAUUUUAAAAGGAUUAAAAAAGCCACUGCUUGUCAAAUCUUGAACUAAAGGACUAACACCAAUUCUCAUAACAUCCUUAAGCCGGCCAUGUGAAAUGGGUGCUGUAAUUACCAUCCUAAUCUUAAGGGCAUGGAAAAUAAAGCACAGAGGGUAAAUCCUAUGGCUAAUCAGGAGCAGAGGUUGGUUUUGAUGUUGAAUGUGUGCACUCUGAGCCCAGAGUCGAUGACUAGAUAUAAAUGCAUCCAAGCCCAGCCCCCAAGAUGCUAGUUAGGUGGUGGCACAAGGUGGGGAUGUGACAAGGCAGCUGUUGCUUGCUGCUUUAUGAGAGGUACAGAUGGACAGACCCCAAGGAAUCACACUGAGCAACGUUUCAACCAGAAAUAGAAAUGGUCUUGGAAGGUGGAGGGCAGGACAGGCGUGCCCAGAAAAGCAGGAGGUAAGUGUGACUCCCAGGCAAGAACCCAAAAGACUCGGGGCUGGGGACAUGGAUGCCUACAGGACAGACACUGUGGCUUUUGGGGAUUAAAGAACUCAAAAUACUGAGCGCACAACCUGUCACCAGAUGAAUGUAAAUCCCCCUUCGGUAAACCCAGCAUUAUUUUUUCAUGACAUUUUGAGUGUGCUUUCAAUAACACUGUGACAUUGCUGCUGUGUUCCUGAUAUUUUUAAGCUUCAGGCUUUUCUUCUGCAAGCUCUGGCUGUGUAGUUGCUCUUCUACAAGCACAAGUUAAAUGGUGAAUUAAAAAAAAGUGAGAAAGGCUUUACUGUUUGUUGGGGGGGGGAGGGGAACACAGAACUAGAAUAGCUUGUCAACUCAUCCUUUGUGGAUAACCACUGUUAGGACAGUAGUUACAUAGUUUUCUAGUCAUUUUUCUUUGUGUAUUUGUCAUACUAAGUCUUCCAAAAUGUAAGUGAAGUUGCUUGCAAAAUCUUUUUUUCGUGGUGGAGUCUUGCUCUGUUGCCCAGGCUGGAGUGCAGUGAUGUAAUCUCGACUCACUGCAAGCUCCACCUCCUGCAUUCAUGCCAUUCUCCUGCCUCAGCCUCUGAAAUCUGGUAUUUUAAAUCAAAGCAGUCUGGCAUUAGAAUGCCAGAGAUGAUGAUGGAAAUGGCCUGGAAGAUAGUAAGGACGAAGGUGCUGUGUAAUGCUUUCAGAGUGACUGCUGUCAGGCUGGGCAUCACUAUUUCAUCUAUUUCUUGGUGUUCUCACCAUGGGAGAUGGGAAGCUCGAGAAGUUACUGCCCCAGGCCCAUGGUAGAGAAGCAGAAUGUGGCUUACAUUUGGAUACAGGGCCAUGUGCAAGGUCACGUGGCAGCAGUCCCCAACCUUUUUGGCACCAGGGAUGAGUUAUGUAUAAGAAAAAUUUUCCACAGAUGUAGGGGGUGGGGAUGCUUUUGAGAUACAAAGUGUGUUACAUUUGUACAUUCUAUUAUUACUACAUGGAAAAAAUUACACAACUCACCAUAAUGUAGAAUCAUUGGGAGCCCUGAGCUUGUUUUCCUGCAACUAGAUGGUCCCUUCAGGGGGCGAUGGGAGAGGGUGAGAGAUCAUCAGGCAUGAGAUUCUCGUAAGUAGCAUGCAGCCUAGAUCCCUCACAUGGGCAGUUCACAAUAGGGUUUGCAUGCCUUUCAGAAUGCAGUGCUGCUGCUGAUCUGACAGGCAGAGCUCAGGCGGUGAUGCGAGUGAUGGGGAGUGGCUGUAAAUACAGACGAAGCGCUGCUCACCCACUGUGUAGCCCAGUACCUAACAGGCUAUGGACUGGUACUGGGCCAGGGGUUGGGGACCAGAAGAGGGAUCCAAGCCUGAUUUGACUACUACUCAUCCUAGACUAAGGAGCACGGGGACACAGCGGUAGACCUCUACAUUGCAGUUACGAUGUGUGAAUUUACUUAAAAGGAGUCUUUUGUCUCUCUCCCCCAUAACUGUGUAAAUUUCUUUAAAGUCUCUGAAUCCCUCUGUUACCUGAAACAUGGGGCCGAUAUCAACCCACCUAUGAGAUUAAACAAGACAAUGCUUUCAGGCCCUGAAGCAAACUCAGGCACAUUUUCUGCAAAUGGGCUGCCUGUGGCCCUCUUGUGGCUCUUGGUGACUGUGGCCCUGCCCCUAGGGAGCCCUUAUCAGGCAGAUAAACUGCUUCAGGUUGUACAAUGCGGGAUGAUCACCCAAUGGGCCUGGGACAGCCUAGUGGUGAGGCUUGUGCAGCCCCCCGUAGAAACGGGAUGGGGGUGGAUUCAAAUCCCAGCCACAAGGACCAGCAGGAUUGGGUGGGAUGGAGAAUAGGUUUCUUUUAAGCUCGGGGCCUGCACUGUGUGAGCAGCUGUGGCAGAGAGUGACAGGUGUAUGGAUCCACCAUGGACGGGGUACUGAGAGGCAUGGCACUGUGGGGUGUGUGCAUCCCUGGGGUAAACAGUGCUCAUUAAAAACUAAAGAUGCACUGUGCUUAACUUUAAAGGAUGGCAUUAAGUUCAUACAGAAGUCUACCAAUGCUUUCUAGAUGUCAGCUUUCACCACUUCAAGGCUAACAUAUCACUCUAUGUAAAAUUCCGAUGGUUACCAAUGGCUGUGAUGCUGAGGGGGCCUCUUUGUCUCUUUGUUGAUAGCCACUUGAGGUGACCAGGGGCCAUCUCGCGUUUCAGAGCUGGCUCAGCCUGACAUUUCAGAAGACCUCAGAUACCAUCUACUGGGGGGGCUGAAGAGAGGCUCUGUGAUGGUUCUGCUGGAGUAAACCGUAAUUAUUAAAAACUGAGAUGCAUUACGCCUAACUUGCUAAGGAUGGAAAGGAUUAUCCCUGAAUGCUGCUGGUCUUCUAAUUCUCAGUUGCCCCGUCCCCACUUUGCAUGGGAUGUUCAGAGCACAAUCAUGUCUCUGUUGUAAUCCCGGCCAAUUACCUCACAGUGCUCUCCCCACUGCAGCACCCAGCCCAACCAACCGUGGCUAAAAUCUUAAGCAGAAGACCCACAGGAAGACAGGGCAAGCGGUGAAUGAAAAUAGCAGCCUGCCUGCCCUGACGACUUGAGAAUCCUCCAGUUGCCUGCAGAGGCCCUCCUCCACUCGCUGGAAUGGCUAUGGUCAUGUCACAUUGAUGAUGUUUUGGUGAACAACAGACUGCAGAUAUGAUAGUGAUCCUGUAAGAUCGUGAUGGAGCUGAAAAAUAUCUGUUGCUUAGUGACAUCACAAUGCAGUGCACUACUCCUGCAUCUGAGGUGAUGCUGGUAUCAAACGAGCCUACUGCACUGCCACUCAUCAAAAAGAUUUUUUGGGCUGGGUGUAGUGGCUCACACCUGCAAUCCCAGCAUUCUGGGAUGCCAAGGAGAAUGGGUCAUUUGAGGUCAGGAGUUCAAGAUCAGCCUAGCCAACAUAGUGAAAUGCUGUCUCUACUGAAAAUGCAAAAAUUAGUUGGGAGAGGUGGUGUGUUCCUGUAAUCCCAGCUACUUAAGAGGCUGAAGCAGGAGAAUUGCUUGAACCCAGGAGGAGGAGGUUGCAGUGAGCCAACAUCAUGCCAAACUCAGUCUCAAAAGCCAAAGGUGGCUUGUUUCUAUUCGCAAGCCCUCAACCAUUCAGCAUCUCCACCCUCUUCUGAGGUUCUUCCCAUCUCUCUGAAGCUGUAAUCCCAUCGUCACUUCCUCUGGCAACACGGGGACUGCCUGCCAUGCCCUAACUCCUCCUUGUGCUUUUGGCCUUCGCCUAAGAGUUCCUUGGAGUUUCUUCACAGCAUCUGUAGCCAUCUGAAGUGUCAUCUUCUGUACUAUAUUGCCAGUGCCUACAAUUACGACUGGUAUACUCAACCAGGCGGCAGUGGUCUUGUACAAUCUCUCUCUGUAUUCUCAAGUCCCCAUCUGCGAGCAUGGCUACUGGAAAUAACUGCAGCUGUAUACUGACUUAAAGAUCCAAAAAUCCCAGGAAGGACCCCAGAGCUGUGAGCCAGAAGCCCAAGGCCCUCCCAGCCUGAAAGCCCCAGGCCAAGCCUGAACUAUAUGCAGUCAUCCCCAUGAGAAUAUAAACUCCAUGAGGGCAGCAACUUGGCUGGCCUGUGUGCCAGUGCUGGGGACAUCACUGAGAAAUGAAGGCCCAUUUGGCAGGCUAUUUUUGAGCAAGAUUCCUGAGGCCCAAUCGUUGGGUGAUGAGAUGGACCCGAGGUAUUUCACUCCAGCUCUCGAGCCAAAAGAACUGACCACGUCCUCACCACUGCUCUGCGCCAGGUACCAUGCUUGCUGUCUUACACGUGUAUUGGCUUAUUAAACCCUCACAGAAGCCAGGAGAGGAGUUCCAUUAUCACCUCUUCUAGAAGAGGAAACUGAGGCACAGAAGUUAACUGGCCAGGGCUUACGAGCCCCUAGGAGGCAAAGCUGGGGCAUGGUGCUGGAUGUCUGACUCCACGGCCCUCCCCUGCCUUAUCUGCCGUUGUUUCCCUUUCUGCAGGAUUAGUAGAUUAAGCUGUACUGGAAUGUGGCCUCUCAGGCAUUUCCGUAUCAGCCAUGGUUACACUCACUGAGGAUAGCACAGUUGAGUGAUUGAGACAGAGAUUCAGUGCCCCAAAAAUCCUUCCCAUCUGAGCCUGGACUUGCCACGUUUUUUAGAGACAGGGACCAGCAGGAGCUACUUUGACAUGGCACUGUGUUGGGCACAGCCUGGCUGGGGAAUCUCACUGGAUCCUCACAGUGGCUCUGUGUGGUAGGGUAUAGAGAUCCCUACCUUACAGAUGAGCAGACAGGCUAGAAAUAUCACCUGCCUGCUCCUGUGUCCCCAGCAGCAGCUAAGUGACAAAACUGAGGCGGGGAUACAGAAGUUUGAUGCCCAUGUGCUUCUGAAGCGGGCCCCUGGUAUGUGUACAAGGCAGCCAGGAAGUAUUUCUUGUCAGCUGUCCCCAUUCACAAGUUGGCUCACCACCUGAAAGGAGGGUGGUACUUUUAUCCUACUGCACAGGAACGGAAACCAAAGCUCAGAAAAUACUUGCUGGGUUGAUGCCUCAGACUCAGAUCUAAUUGUAACACCAGAAUUUGUUCCAGCCUUUUGAAAGCAGGGCUUCUCAACUUUGCAUGCACCUUAGAAUUACCUGGGGAACUUUAAAAAGAUCCUGAUGCUGAGGCCCAAAGAUUAAUGUUGCAUUAACCAGGCAGGGCCUGGCCUCUGUAUUUUUAAAAGCAUGCUGGGUGAUCGAAUGUGCAAGCUGUGGCUGAGACCCCAACUUGAAAGCAAUCCUACUGUUGGGGAAGUUCUGCAAAUGGAAAGACUAGCCCCCAAAAGAAUGAUUCCACAUAUCUCUGAGGUUACAAGUGGCUUUUUGGUGGGCUGACAAACUGGUUAAACAUUUGACGGUGUCUGAACCUCCGGAGCAGUGAUUUUUAGACUGUCCUCAGAAGAUGGCAAAUCUGAGUGCAGUGUGUUCCUAAAGGCUCUCUGUGGGGAAGUCUGCACGAUGGUACUGAGGGUUUUCUGAGAUUCUCCUGGCAGCUGUGGACCACUGUUCCAUUAUUUCACACCAGAUUUCAUCCAAGCAAAGAGAGGAUCACAUGGAGAUGAAAACACCCCACUUCCUUCAUCUGGAUGACACCUUGUUUAGAAGCCCAUCACUCGGCCAGAGAAGAAAUAUUUAGAUUGAGAAACAGCUUUUUGUUGUGCCCUAAGCCCAUUCUACCUUUAUGAUUCAACUAAAAAUUUAUUUCCACUUAAAUAAAACCAGCAAUUCUGAGCUUCCCCUCCCGUCACAGGUUUCCUCCCAGAAAGUCUAUCAUGAAAAUACUGCUCAAAAAUCAUCUGUAAAAAGGUAAAUUAACACAUAUUCUUGGCUCCCUCUUCCUUAUCUCAGCUAUUCAGCCUCUACACUUUUUCAACUAUUUUAUCACCUUUUUUAAAUAGGCAACACAGGAGUGUAGAAUAAGAGCAUGAGGGGGGUGAAUACAUGAAAAAGUGAGUCUUCCCACCUUGGUCCUCCACUAAGUGACGGUUACUUUUUAAUGUGUCUUUCUACAGGUAUACAUUACACAUAGAAGCACGUAUGUAUGCACCGGUGGAAGUAUAUAUCCUCAUAUUUGGUGUUUGGUUUUUUUUUUUUUUUUGUAGAUUGAGACUGUGUCUCCCAGACUGGAAUGUAAUGACACAAUGUCAGCUCACUCCAACCUCCACCUCCCGGGUUUAAGUGAUUCUCCUGCCUCAGCCUCCCAAGUAGGUGGGAGUACAGGCGUGCACCACCAUGCCUGGCUAAUUUUUGGAUUUUUAGUAGAGAUGGGUUUUCCUCUUGUUGGCUAGGCUGGUCUCACACUCGACCUCAGGUGACCCAACCACCUUGGCCUCCCACAGUACUGGGAUUACAGGUAUAAGCCUCUGUGUCUGGCCCAUAUUUGCUAUUUCUAAAAUUAGAAAGGUAUUGUGUGGUACUCUUCCAUGCUUUAUCCUCUUAGUAAUAAUGUCAUGGAGAUUUUUUCCAUAUCACUACAUGCGGUAUGGAAGGUAUUCCCUUUACAUGUGAGUGUACAUCAGCCUCAGUAUUCUAGCCCAUAGGUUGGCAAACUUCCUAUAAAGGGUGAGACUAAACAUACUAGGCUCCAGGGAGGCAUUCCAUCUCAGUUACAACUCAACUUUGCCCUUAUAAUAAGAAGCUAUACAUGAAGUGUGAAUGACUGGGCAUGUUCCAAUAAAACUUUACUUAUAAAAAACAGGUGGAGGGUAAGAUUUGGCCUGUGGGCCAUCAUUUUCUGAUCUCUGUUCUAGUCUGAACCAUCUUUGGCUGUUUCACCACAGUCAUGCGGCCAAGGAGGCAAGGCCUGGCCACACAGGGCACAGAAGCCAUGAUGGGCCUUGUCUGCAAGUAGAAAUCACCUGCUAAUCACCAACAGGUCUCAAAGUAAAUGCUGGAACACACUUUGUAGGGUGACUCUCCUGGCCCCAAGCAGCAUCUGCGACAUCAAGAUGCCGGGCCUUGGGACUGCCUCAAGCUGGUUUCGGCAGCUAUGCUCUUUACAGAGCGUGUGGAGGGCAAGGACUCUGGAGUAGAAAAAGGUGCAGGUCUUAGGGCUGGGGUCCCAGGGUGGAAGCCCACUCCAUGCCUUACUGGCUAUUUGAGAUAGAGGAUGAAAAAUGGCAUGAACAUCUUUGUAUGUGUGAGGAUCUUCCUGUUGCCCACGCUGGAGUUCAAUGGUGCAAUCUUAGGUCACUGCAACCUCCACCUCCCAGGUUCAAGAGAUUCUCCUGCCUCAGCCUUCUGAGUAGCUGGGACUACAGGUGCACACCACCACCCAUGGCUAAUUUUUGUAUUUUUGGUAGACAUGGGGUUUUGUCAUAUUGACCAGGCUGGUUUCCAACUUCUGACCCUGAGUGAUCUACCACCUCAGCCUCCCAAAGUGCUGGGAUUACAGGGAUGAGCCACCAUGGCUGGCAGACACAAGCAUCGUGAGGGGUGCCUAGCCCCUGCAGACACUCCAUGAACAGCAAAUGUGAUAACUGCUAAAUCAAAACUACCCCAGAAUUUUCCAUCUGCUAUGUCCCCAAGAAAUGACACUGUAACAGGGAGCCGAACACUAUGAUGCCUGCCCAGCUGCAAGAGUGGACUCACCUAAGAUACUCCACAAGCUUUUUAUGCUGUUACAACGGACCCAAAGCACGGGAGAGCAGGGGCCUCACUUGUGCUGUUGCUUGAGAGUUCCCUAAAUGCCAGGCCAUAGCAGGUACUGAAGAAUACCUACAGCCCGAGUGAGUGCUGCUAUGUGUAGGGUUCAGGCCAAGGGCCCUGGCUGCAGAGCAGAGGAACUGAGAGCUAGACAGGGCUGGGCCUGCCAUAGGAAAACAACAGCCCAGCUAUGACCCAGCACUGUGGUGGCUGGGGGAUGAGAGAUGAGCUCAGCACAGAAAACACCUUGGAGCCCUGGAUGUACCCCUCCUACACCAGUACAAUGCCCUGCAGUGCUCUGGGCUUUAAACUUCACUUCUUGCUGAGUUGACACCAAAUGAGGCCCCUGAAGAGCCUCUUCUGCUGUGGGGCUUGGACAGAGUACCCGGGCCUGGAGUGGGACUUACAGGGAAGCCAGCAUCAUAGAAAAUCCCUAGAGGGAAUUCCCAGAAGGCUGCACCCUCAAAGCAUCUGGUCCAGACAAGACAACCCUGACUAGUCAUCCUGAAAGCCCGGUGCUGUCCAAAAGACACAGAUGCCAUGGUACAGGGAUGUGGCACAGUGGGGAGCCAGAGGUAGGUUACAAAGGAGACCUUAGAAGGUGUGGGACUCCCUUCCAUGUGGGUGCAGAGUGCCCACUGUCAUUCCCCAUGGAGGCACCAAGCCAGGAGAGUAGGGCUCCAGGGACAGUAGCUUCCAGCCUUCCCAGUCAGGUCCACAUCUGGUGAGCCAGAAGGAAGGAAAUGUAACCUAACACUGUGGCAGGAUCCAGCGUGGCCUUGUGGGAGGCGCUGUGGGAUGAGCAAGAGAGCAAAUGUGUGUGGCCAAGAUGAAGAAUGAACAGGGAUAGAAAAUUCCUACUUGUCCCAAGAAAUAGACCUCAAUGUCCCUUAGCAACAUCUUUUUAUGUCAUGCCUGACCGUGUGUGUGCCAGGGGUGGUGCUUGCCUUACCAAUAUGAGCAGUGCAAAAGUCCAGGAUGCCACGUUCACUCGAGACCCCUGUGCCAUGCUGUCUCCCAAAAGACUGAGCACCUUGAGGGCAGACUGGGAAUUGAGGUAUCCCUGAACCCCUAAGAGCAGCUCCUAUACAGCCCUAGAACUGCUGCUGAAGGAAGUGGCUCAUUUUGCUAAACUCCAGUUUGGAAUCUGGGGCUCAGUAAGGCUGUCCCUGCAGAGCAUUCUUGAGCCCAUUCUGUUCGGUAGCCAGGCAAGUGUGAGCAGCUGCAGCUUCACAGGAGGAGGCUUAGAGGGGCAGUGAUGGGUGCCAUGCUAUGCAGAUCCCAGACAGGAACGCGGGGGCCAGGUUUUAUUACAGGAGAUGGUGCUUGGGGUGGGAAUCAUAUCUCCAUCCCAUGGGACAGCUUAGUGGUGCUGAGGCUGACUUCGUGGGGGUGUAUUUAAUCCUCGUGAGGGAGGGGGAUGUUAACCACAGCUCAGGACUCUGUUCUUCCAGUUCCUCUUUCUCUCACACCCACAUUGAAACCAGCAAGUUCUGGUAGUUCUACUUUGAGAAUACCCCUUCCCAGGCUGCCUGAGGCACCAUCCCCUCUCCCCGGGGUGCCCACAUGGUCCCCUAACUACCUGUUCUAUCACCCAUAACAAAGCUCUACCCUUUGCUGACUCCACAUGGCAGCUAGAGUUCCCUUGGCUGCAAGGCCUCUCUGUUCCUGGGCUACCCUGGCUUCCUUGCUGUUUCUCCCAGGGGCCAACUCUUCAAGGCUGCAGGACCUUUGCACCUGCUGUGUCCACUGCCUGGCUCCCUGCCUCAGGUCUCCACUUCGGGUCAAACUAUCCCUGUCAUCUUCCUAGACCAUAAACAGCACAUCCCCAGCAGGCUUCUUUCCCUCUGUGAUGACUGUGAUGUCAUUUCCUGUCUUUUCACUGGAAAUCGCCACCUCACAUAGGCAUGUCUGCCUCACUAUUCAAUGUCUGUGUCCCCCAUGAAAACAGAUGCUUUAUCUGCUGUUGAACUAUCAGGAUCUGAAAUGGUGCACUGGCUUCCAGCUGCACUCCUAGCCCUGGAAAAACCAAACCAGCCUGAUCUUACUGGUGACUGUAUAAUCUUAAUCCCUUUAUUUUCAUAUAUUUUGAAAGCAAUCCUAAUUGUCUGUAUUUAAAAUUUCCUUUGUUGCAUGGAAGGUAGCUGUUUAAAUGUCUAAUUUUCUCCUAUCUUCUUAGUUUUCUAGUCAAAAUAAUAGCUUUAAUCACAGUGGGUCUAGAUGGAUUCAAAAAGGAAGAUUUAUCCACUCUUCUUGGUAAUUGUUU
rnacentral:lncRNA from 10 species